rnacentral:lncRNA from 1 species
GAGAUUGUUGGAUCUAUUUUAGCCCAAUAAUAAAUAGCUGCAUGCUUUUGAGAUAGUUAAUUGGCGUUUAUAAUCUACAAGUGGUAUCAGAGCCAGUGACCGAGGUUUAUUCUCAAAUGCUGCAUUAACGGUGCACGGUGCAGAUGUUGGGAGAGAUUGUUGACUAUUUAUUAUUGGGCUAAAAUAAGUCCAACAUCCUGCGCCAUGAUAAUAGGCUCAGGAGACUAAAAAAUUUAGUUGGGUGAACCUAAUAAGUUGAGUGGAUGUAUAACUCACAAGAAAUUUAAUGGCAAGAGGCCCAACAAUAAACUCAACGUCCAUGUGAGUUGAGUCAGGUCGAAACUCGCGAGCGCUGUGACUGAGCCCUUGAGUGCAAUAGGUGCGCAAUUCUUAUCAACACGUAUUUUUGGAAUAGUUGGUUAGCGCUUACGAUCAUUUAAAAAAUAAGUCAAACACGAGUUAAAUUUUUCGGUUCGAAAUUUUAAUGAGUCGAACACGAAUUAGAAUCAGCUCAUAAGUUUUGA